AAUAGUGUACGGUGAUGUCCUAGGCCUUCACAUUUACUUACCACUCAUUGACACCCACAGCAACUUCCAGUCCUAUAAGCUCUAUUGAUGGUAUGGACCCUACACAGAAAUGCUCCUGUGGACCUAAAAUGUACAACUGUUCUUUAAAUAAAACUUCAACUGAUUUAACUUUAUAAGCUACAGGAAACAACAAGUGAAAUGAAAUAUACUAACAUAUAUAGGUAUACAGGAGUCUCUCUCCAUGGCCACCAUAGCUGAAAAUGCGGUGGGUCACAUCUGAAGCCAGCACAGCCCUGCAUCUUACCCAAGGCCCACAGCAAGUACUGCCUGGGUACCAGUGAUGUUCAAGGCCCAACAUCUCUUUAGUCAGCAGGUGAUGAAUCCUGCUAGAACUGGAUCCUUCCCUUCAAGGCAGAAGGUUCCUCUCUGGCCCAUGGUGUGUCUAGAAAUGUAGUCUAGGAGCUACAGCCUAGAAUGGGGAGCCUCAGGACUCUGCCUGACACCCUAUUCUACUGUGGCUGAGCUGGCAUCCAAGUUGCAAGACACAGUUGUCUUUACUCUCUACUAUCUUCACCUCAAGCAGAAGGAAGGAGUCUCUCCCAGAGUUGUAAGCUGCGUUGCCUAGGGUUGGGGGAAGGUUGAUGCAAGUACUCCCUGGGCCACCCUAGCUGGUAUCUCAUCAGGUUAUGUGGACCACAUGUCAACUGGCUCUGAGCCCAGCAUAACACGUGUCCAGGAAUUACAAUCCUUGUGGCCUAGACUGCCUUUCAAGUUUACUUACGACCCCAGAGAACUUUAGCUCAUGGUGGCAGGGUUUGCUGGAAUUGGAACUCAGGUUCAGACCUCUGGGAUAGACAACUUGCCUCUGUCUAGGGCUGAUCUAAAUGCUCUUUGUGGGUGCUGGUUGAGUUCUACCAAGUGUUGCUUUCCGCUGUGACACAGCAGCACUGUGGAUGCAACAUCCUACAAGCAUGGUGCUCUCCCUUCCUCAAGCACACGGAUUCUCUUUCCACGCCAUGUGGCCCCUUCAGGGGGAUGGGGGAGGGAUGGUGUAGGUGAUUAAAGACUGUUUUUCCUAUCCUACUCCAUGCCUCCUUCCUUAAUAUAGUUGUUCAAUUUGAUGUUCCUGCAGAGGGGAUGACCACCGGAGGCUUCUAUUCGGCCAUCUUGUUCUGCUUCCUCUCUAGGAGUGGGCCUUAUUAAUAUUACAUUAUUACUAUCACCUUUUCACAAUCUUGUCAAAAGAGGGAGGAAAAAAAGAACACUCAAGAAACCUUAUAUUUUUUGUGAUCUUUGUGUUAGUUUACUUAACUUGGAAAAGAAACAAGUCUUUUAAUGAUAAUUUAAUUUACAAGAUUUAGCUUACUUAACUCCCAGGGGGAUUGGAGUCAAUCAUAUGGUGGGACAGUAAGUAAUUAAAUUUUUACAUUUCUAAGAUCUUCAUACAGUUUAACACAAAACAAACCAAUAGAUAUCAUCUAAUAUAUAAUUUACUUCAAAUGCUUUUGUGGCACAUUACAGUAGUACAUGCAUAAGAUGGCAUUCCUUGAAAAGUCAGGGACAUCUAGAUAGUCACCAAAGUUAAGGGAGUUGUAAAAGCAAAAAGGUCACUCUGUAAGGGUAAAUUCUAAAAUCUACUCAAGUAUCUGGGAAGUUCAUGGCUCAAACAAAACAUGGUUGGAAUAACCAGUGUUUUGGCCCUUUUUUAUUAUGUAAUAAUAAAUUGCUCCAGUUGAAUGCUUCACCACCUGAAGUUCCUUUUAAUAUUUACUUUCUAAAACCCCGAUAUGAAGAAUCUAGAAUAAUUUGUGAUAAAUGUUUAAAACUUUUUAAAAAUUACAAGAUAGUGUGCAAAAGUCACUGUGAUUGUGAAGCAAUCAUGUCUAAACUAAAAGAUGCAUUAAACUGGGUAACAGAGGCUUUUUAAAAACUCUUUUUUUCCCUUGUAAGUUUCAUCACUAUUAUUCCUAAAAACAGUAUUCUUUAGUAAACUUAUAUGCUUUACUAAAUUUAUUAAAUUUAGUAAAAUUAUAUGCUUAUAUUCUCUAUUUUCUUUUUCAGAUACUUUCCUUUAACUAUCAAAUAUACGCUUAUCCUUCCCGAUUCUAACAUUCUCUUCUGGAACACUAUUUGAAGCUCUCAAAAACAUAUCUUCAGACUAGCUAUUGAAAAUCUCAAGAGAAAAAUGUUCCACACUCUUGGCUGAAUUAUUAAAAAUGAAAUCUAACAGCUGGAUAGCCUCUGAGGAUAGGUGUAGACAAAACACUAGUUGAAAGAUUGCUACAGGUCAAAUUACUUCACAUGCUGUGGCUCUAUUCUGUCAUCAGUUCACAUGGGUCAAGGGCUAUGUAACAUCAUCAAUGAACUUGUAAGGAAUAAUAGAAAAGGGAGAACUGUACUGCAACUCAUAUAGAGAGGCCAAAUGAACAGGGCCAACUUCCUUCUUAACCUUUUUAUUCUACUUCAGCAAAAUCCAGCACAAUUCAACCAAAGAAUAUACGGAGAAUCUAUUAUAUUGAGUCCAUGAAGUUGGUGCUACCAAGGAUACAGAAAUAAGUAAGACAGGAUCCCUGCCUCCAAGAACUUCACUUCUAGCUGAGAGGCAGCCACAGGCAUAAGCAGUUAGAGUAAAGAUAGGAUAUGGACAGUGGAAUAACAGAGUUAUGAUAUAUCAAUGGAACACCUAAGAAGUAGGGAGACUUUCUGAGUAACUACAACGAUUAA